GAAGAGCCGCUGGCGCCUGCGCGGUGGGGCCGCGGCCCUGCAUCCCCCUUCAGCCGAGGAGAUGGAGGCGGCGGCGCGGCGGCGGCCGCGGGAGCCGGAACGGCAGGAGCGGGAGCCCGGCGAUGGUGGGCGGGUGAUGUCACCGUCCCUAUCGGGACAGUCCUACUGGCUGGACCUUUGGCUCUUCAUCCUCUUCGACCUGGCGCUUUUCCUGCUCAUCUACCUGCUGCCCUGAGGGCGCGGCCCAGGGCCAUUGCCACCGAAGGAAUUCUCACCUAUUUCGUACCUUAUGAACACCGGCGGUGGAAGAGGAGGACCAUUUGUGCGGGAUAAGCAACCGGGAACACGGCUCCACUUGAGCGUGGGUGAAGGAGGCACAUUUCUGUACUGUACCGUGAUGGAUCUGGGUGUGUCACAAGUGUUACUGUUGGGUUUUGCUCGUGUGUCCUGAGCUGUGCCUUAGAGAUCCCGUACGACAGACUGACUGUCCUUUGUGAUUAGUGCCUAAAGGUUUGUUGGGCAAACAUGGAAGCGUGCACUGUGUGAAUAAAAUCCACUGAAAGGACACCCUGCAGAGUGGCUGAGAAUAAAACCCAGCUCUUCUGUACACUGAAGUUGUAGCUCCGACCCGUUCCCUCAACAGAUGAAGCUUGGCCAGCUGUUCUGCUUCCAAAAAUUAAUCCUGAUGGGUUGAUGCUGGUUGGUUUUCUAUAAUACAUCUCUCUGUUUUUUCUUUCUUUACUGAGCCCUCUCAGGCUCAGUGUUUAUAGGUAUAAAUAUUUACAUAUAUAAACAUGUCAGUGUUUAACCCA